rnacentral:rRNA from 1 species
AGAUGGCGACCGGCGCACGGGUGAGUAACACGUAUCCAACCUGCCGAUAACUCGGGGGUAGCCUUUCGAAAGAAAGAUUAAUACCCGAUGGUAUAAUCAGACCGCAUGGUCUUGUUAUUAAAGAAUUUCGGUUAUCGAUGGGGAUGCGUUCCAUUAGGCAGUUGGUGAGGUAACGGCUCACCAAACCUUCGAUGGAUAGGGGUUCUGAGAGGAAGGUCCCCCACAUUGGAACUGAGACACGGUCCAA